AUGUGAUUUCUUGGUAUCCUAAAUAUAAGAUUAAUACUUCAAGUUGCUGAGUUGAGAAAGAGAUGCUUGAAUCAAAAGAAUUCCUUUUUUGAAGUUCAAUUUUUAUCAGAGGACAAUAUGAAUAUUACACCAUGUUCCAUUAAAACACUCAAGGGGUUAUAUGAUAUAUCGGGUGUAGAAGUAGGCCAACACUUCUAUUGGCAAAUAGGAGGUUUUCAAUUUCAUGCCCAAGUACUCAUCACUUCUUGGGUCGUAAUUACUAUUUUGUUAGGUUCAGUUAUCAUAGCUGUUCGGAAUCCACAAAACAUCCCGACCAACGGUCAGAAUUUUUUCGAAUAUGUCCUUGAGUUUAUUCGAGACUUGAGCAAAACUCAGAUUGGAGAAGAAUAUGGUCCCUGGGUUCCCUUUAUUGGAACUAUGUUCCUUUUUAUUUUUGUUUCGAAUUGGUCAGGUGCUCUUUUACCUUGGAAAAUUAUAGAGUUACCUCACGGGGAAUUAGCAGUGAACACGAAUGAUAUAAAUACUACUGUUGCUUUAGCUUUACUAACAUCAGCGGCAUAUUUUUAUGCGGGUCUUAGCAAAAAAGGAUUGAGUUAUUUCGAGAAAUAUAUUAAACCAACCCAAAUCCUUUUACCCAUUAACAUCCUAGAAGAUUUCACAAAACCAUUAUCGCUUAGUUUUUGACUUUUCAGAAAUAUAUUGGCAGAUGAAUUAGUCGUUGUUGUUCUUGUUUCUUUAGUCCCCUUAGUAGUCCCUAUACCGGUCAUGUUUCUUGGAUUAUUUACAAGCGGUAUUCAAGCUCUUAUUUUUGCAACGUUAGCCUCAGCCUAUAUAGGUGAAUCUAUGGAAGGCCAUCAUUGAAGUGACUAGUUUUCGAAAUAGUUUUUUUUUAGCUUAGCUCAAUUCAUGCAUGAUUCCGGAUAAUCCUCUUAGUUGGAAAACUAAAUAGUUCGAAAUGCGUAUGAAUAUACAACCUAGAGUUGUAGGGGAAAGAAUAGACUAUAUUACGGAAGAGGUAAAGUAUAUAUUCAUUCAGGGGGGCCGAGUCAGGUUAGAUCUAUAUCCUUAAUGCCUAUAAGACAGUCAUCUUUUGUGCGGCUUUCUAAGGAAUGAUUUUAGAAUCGGAUUCCAUAAAAAAUGAGAAAAUACGCAAACAAAAUAGAAGAAACAAAUGUAUAUGGAAUUUUUUUAUUCCUAAGUUAGAUUCAUUAUCUAAUCCGAUAUAUGGAAUUCCCUUCUAUAGGGAACUAGAUUCCAUAUCUAGUUCUAUGCAACAUAUUGUUAUCAAUUGUAUAUCUUGAUUCCUAUUGGAUUUGGAUUAGUUCGAUUUCAGUAAAGGUUCUUCCUGUAUUUUGUGUUUUAUUAUGUUAGAUGAAGGAGAAAAAAAUGGGAACUCAAGGAUAUCGAAGAGUAAAAAAAGGAUGGAAUGAAAGAGUGAUUGGUUGAAAAGAAAGAGAAAUAGAAUAAUGAGAAUCAUAUGGAUUUACACAAACGUAUAAUGAUUAGAAACUAAAAACGAGAUCUCAAAGCAAUUCGGACGAAUUCGAUUAUCAUUUAUUUGUACUUAUUAGUUACUUCUACCAAUAGAGCUUAGAAGUUCGAAGUAAUAAUUUCUUGGUUGAUUGUAUCCUUAACCAUUUCUUUUUUUUUGACACGAAGGAACUCAACAUGAAUCCACUAAUUGCUGCUGCUUCCGUUAUUGCUGCUGGAUUGGCCAUAGGGCUUGCUUCUAUUGGGCCCGGAGUUGGUCAAGGUACUGCUGCAGGACAAGCUGUAGAAGGUAUUGCGAGACAGCCAGAAGCAGAAGGUAAAAUAUGAGGUACUUUAUUGCUUAGUCUAGCUUUUAUGGAAGCUUUAACAAUUUAUGGACUGGUUGUGGCACUAGCGCUUUUAUUUGCGAACCCUUUUGUUUAAUCCUAAAAAAGAAAAUGAUCCCUUUAGAUUAGAUACUUUUUUCUUUUUUUUAGUACAUUGGCACUUGCUUCUGUAAUUCCAAGUAUAUCAAUAUUUUACUCCUGUUUAUUAUAUUAUUCCGAGAAUUUUGUAUUUAUCGGGACAGACAAUACCCCAGGAACCCCAGGAAGGGCUGAUUUGAGCAUGAUCAAUUUAGAGGAUACGCUCGCCCUCUUCCUUCCUGUUCUUAGUUUAGAACAGUGGAAAGUCUUUUUUCUUUUAUUUUAGGAAUUUUGGGAACAUUUAAUUUCAACAAAGGAGAUUUUUAACAGGUCAAACGAGACCUAAGACUUAAUCUAAAAGAAAUUAUUAGAUUAAAUCUAUUUGCAUUAAAAA